GGCACCCCUCCUUAGAUGAUGCUCAUUUGACUCCCCUGAUGUUGGUACUCUUACAGAAGCUAGUCACUGCCAGGUGCUGGUAAGAUGAGAACCAUGUUUGAGAGGAAAGACAAUGACGUGUUUUCUUGGCCAUGAGUGGGAUGGAUACAUGGUCCUUAGAGUUUCCAUCAAGGCCACUUGUGGGCACAAGGUUGUUUCCUAUAGGACAUCAGCUCAGGAAGGAUACCAAGACCCAGCAUUGCUUACUACAGCAAAAUUGUCUCUGGAUUGUUUCAUGUCAGGCCUUGAUUUCAUUGGCUGGCCUCAUAGUGGUCUAUGCACUGGGAUUACAUACCCUAAUCCUCAAAGUCUACUAUCACCUAAAAACAGCUUUUGCUUUUGGCGCUUGAAGUGUUGAUCACCACAAUCUUCUCUUGGAAUCAAACCUGGACCCCCUGAAGUGGAAGUGCAGAAUCUCAACCACUGGGCCUCUCCUAGACGUUUUUGAUACUGACUUCCAUAUAUAUUAGCUCAUUUGACACUUGAACCAACCUGGAAGCACCAAAGAGUAUGAUCCACAUCCAGGGUAUAUCAGGAGAGGUGGGAAAAGGGAGACAGUGUGGUUGAGAAGUUAACUGUAAUUAGGACUCUGGCAGCCAAGACCAUUUGGAAAUGAGGGCUUGAUGACACCUCAGCAAGGAUGGAUGUCUGUGCAAAAUCUUUCUUGGGGAAUAAAAAGAAGGCAGCUUCCUCAACACUUUUCUAUCAUUGUAUUUUAUCUUAGGUCUUUAAGUCCUUGCUGACUUCACCAGUGACAGUUCCCAAAAUAAAGCUGUUUUUUUAAAUGCUUUUUAACAAUUGCAUGAA